rnacentral:rRNA from 1 species
GUGCCAGCCGCCGCGGUGAUACCGGCAGCCCGAGUGAUGGCCGAUCUUAUUGGGCCUAAAGCAUCCGUAGCUGGCCGCGCAAGUCCAUCGGGAAAUCCACCCGCCCAACGGGUGGCCGUCCGGUGGAAACUGCACGGCUUGGGACCGGAAGGCGCGACGGGUACGUCCGGGGUAGGAGUGAAAUCCCGUAAUCCUGGACGGACCGCCGAUGGCGAAAGCACGUCGCGGAGACGGAUCCGACAGUGAGGGACGAAAGCUAGGGUCUCGAACCGGAUUAGAAACCCUAGUAGUCC